CAGGGAUUGCCCUAGUAACGGCGAGUGAAGCGGCAACAGCUCAAAUUUGAAAUCUGGCCCUUGGGUCCGAAUUGUAAUUUGUAGAGGAUGAUUUUGGUGCGGUAUCUUCCGAGUUCCUUGGAACAGGACGCCUUAGAGGGUGAGAGCCCCGUACGGUUGAAUGCCUAGCCUUUGUAAAUCUCCUUCGACGAGUCGAGUAGUUUGGGAAUGCUGCUCUAAAUGGGAGGUAAAUUUCUUCUAAAGCUAAAUACUGGCCAGAGACCGAUAGCGCACAAGUAGAGUGAUCGAAAGAUGAAAAGCACUUUGAAAAGAGGGUUAAAUAGCACGUGAAAUUGUUGAAAGGGAAGGAUUUAUGACCAGACUUUUUCUAGGCGAAUCAUCCGGUGUUCUCACCGGUGCACUUCGUUUAGUUUAGGCCAGCAUCGAUUUUCGGGGCGGGAUAAAAGCUUUAGGAAUGUGGCUCCCUCGGGAGUGUUAUAACCUAUUGUAUAAUACCGCCCUGGGGAUCGAGGUACGCGCUUCUGCAAGGAUGCUGGCGUAAUGGUUAUCAAUCACCCGUCUUGAAACACGGACCAAGGAGUCGAACAUUUGUGCAAGUGUUUGGGUGUUAAACCCUCACGCGUAAUGAAAGUGAACGGAGGUGAGAGCCCUUACGGGUGCAUCAUCGACCGAUCCUGAUGUCUUCGGAUGGAUUUGAGUAAGAGCAUAACUGUUCGGACCCGAAAGAUGGUGAACUAUGCGUGGAUAGGGUGAAGCCAGAGGAAACUCUGGUGGAGGCUCGCAGCGGUUCUGACGUGCAAAUCGAUCGUCAAAUCUGCGCAUGGGGGCGAAAGA
rnacentral:rRNA from 1 species